CAGGGCCUUUCAACAAGCCCUGGGACUGGUUAACCUCUCACUGGACAAUGCAUCCCAUUGGGGCUGAAAGGGAUAUAUUUCCCAGUGGAGAAGGAGGCUGGUCCAAACACCCUGGAGAGAGGAGAUGGGAGUCAGGCUUCCCUCACCCCCUGAGGCCUCUCCCCUCCCCUGCCUGCUCACCUUGACACGGUCGGCACUGCUGUUGAAGAGCCCAAUGCGCCGGAUCGUGUUCAGGAUGGGGUCCGUGGAGUCGUCCAGCAUAUUGUCACAAAACGCUUAGACACAGGAGUAGAGGUGGAUGUCGUUUUCUUAGAUUUUAGGAAGACCUUCAAUACCAUAUCUCAUCCCAUUCUCAUAAAUAAAUAAAGAUGCUGUGACUUAGACGAUUACACAGUCUGCUGGGUGGCAAAUUGACUUGGGGGGGUCACACCCACAGGGUGGUGUUGGACAGAUCAGUAUUAACCUGGAAGGAUAAGGACAGUGGGGUCCUGCAGGGCUUGGUUCUUGGACCUGUGCUCUUCAAUGUCUUCAUCAGUGACUUGGAUGUGGGCAUGUAGUGUACUCUGUCCAAGUUUGUGGAUGAUACUAAAU